rnacentral:rRNA from 1 species
AUUGAACGCUGGCGGCAUGCUUUACACAUGCAAGUCGAACGGUAACAGGCCUUCGGGUGCUGACGAGUGGCGAACGGGUGAGUAAUGCAUCGGAACGUACCCAGAGGUGGGGGAUAACGCAGCGAAAGCUGUGCUAAUACCGCAUGUGAUCUGAGGAUGAAAGCGGGGGACCGAGCAGCAAUGUUUGGCCUCGCGCCUUUGGAGCGGCCGAUGUCGGAUUGCUAGUUGGUGGGGUAAAGGCCUACCAAGGCGACGAUCCGUAGCUGGUCUGAGAGGACGACCAGCCACACUGGGACUGAGACACGGCCCAGACUCCUACGGGAGGCAGCAGUGGGGAAUUUUGGACAAUGGGCGCAAGCCUGAUCCAGCAAUGCCGCGUGCGGGAAGAAGGCCUUCGGGUUGUAAACCGCUUUUGGCAGGAACGAAACGGUGUCCGCUAAUACCGGGCGCUAAUGACGGUACCUGCAGAAUAAGCACCGGCUAACUACGUG